rnacentral:tRNA from 1 species
ACAUAAAAGUGUAGAGAGCACGGAAAGUUUUGAUCUUUUAGGAAUUGGUGCGGGUCCAAUGUAUGUAUU